AGGAACGCGUGGAUAAUCUGCCUUAGAGUGGGGGAUAACUAGUCGAAAGAUUAGCUAAUACCGCAUAAGACCACAAGAACUGCGGUUCAAGGGGUCAAAGGUUUUUCGCUCUAAGAUGAGUCCGCGUAAGAUUAGCUAGUUGGUGAGGUAACGGCUCACCAAGGCGACGAUCUUUAACUGGUCUGAGAGGAUGAUCAGUCACACUGGAACUGAGACACGGUCCAGACUCCUACGGGAGGCAGCAGUAGGGAAUAUUGCACAAUGGAGGAAACUCUGAUGCAGCGACGCCGCGUGAGUGAUGAAGGCCUUCGGGUCGUAAAGCUCUGUCGCAGGGGAAUAACACAAUGAAGGUACCCUGUAAGAAAGGAUCGGCUAACUUCGUGCCAGCAGCCGCGGUAAGACGAGGGAUCCUAGCGUUGUUCGGAAUCAUUGGGCGUAAAGCGGGUGUAGGUGGCUUUGUAAGUCGGGUGUGAAAGCCUGGGGCUUAACCCCAGAAGUGCAUUCGAUACUGCGAAGCUUGAGUGGUAGAGAGGAUAGUAGAAUUGUUGGUGUAGUGGUGAAAUACGUAGAUAUCAACAGGAAUACCGGAGGCGAAGGCGGCUAUCUGGCUACACACUGACACUCAGACCCGAAAGCGUGGGGAUCAAACAGGAUUAGAUACCCUGGUAGUCCACGCCA
rnacentral:rRNA from 1 species